GCGCGCUCACCGACCGUCGUCAGUUGGUGUAGUUCUUGACGGCGGCGUGGGGCUCGGCGGCCUUGGCGGCGGGGGUGGGUUCGACGGUGGGAGAAGGUGGCACCGGCGUGCCGAGCAGCUCCUUUGGCAGGUUGGGGAUCCCCUUGAGGUAGAAGGUGUAGAAGAUCUUGAAGGGGAAGACGAUCUGCUGCAGCUUGACCUGGCCGUAGACGCCCUCGAAGAUGCCGGAGCCGCCGGUCACGGCCAGGUAAGAGUCCUCGUAGGUCAGGUACGCCCCCUGCACCGAGACGUGGCCGUAGUCGCCGAAGUAGAAGCUGUAGAUGGCUUCGUAGCGGUCGCCGCCCCUCUCCGGAACGUGCUGGAUCAGCACGCAGAUCCCCGCCGUGAUGCCCACCCGCUUUUCCAGAUUCCCCGAG
rnacentral:lncRNA from 1 species